rnacentral:lncRNA from 1 species
GCAGCUGCCGGACACCAGGAGACGAUGGAAGGUCUAUAGUGUUACAGCUCUGACCCAGGAAGUCCCAGGGUCUUGCCUUCCAGAAGGGUCGCGGCUCUUCCCUCCCUCAGUCCAACGAACAGGAGCACGUCACCUCCCGCAGCUCGGGGAGCUGGCCAGGAACGUGUUACAGCCCGUUUCGCUCCUGUCCGCAGCUGGGUGAGGCAGCCAGGAAAAUAUUACAGCUCUUCUCACGCCCGCCAUUCAGCAGGUCCUGACUUCUUGUGUGACAUCCAGAAGAAAGGGGUUACACAGACAGCUGGAGGGUGAGCAAAGUGGAGAAGUUCUCAGCAGAGAGGAGACUGGAGUGAGUUGCCCCUACCCGCAGGUGCCAACUGUAAUACAUCAGUAGCUGAACAGCUCAUUGCCCUCAAGUGUUCUUGCUCAUGCCUGGCUGAGUUAUUGAAGAAAUUGCUCAGAUCUCAAGCCCUUGUAGAUCACUGGUCCUGGCAGAUGUUAUGGGGAACUCGCUAUGUUGCCCAGGCUGGUCUUGAACUCAUGGUCUCAGGCAGUCCUCCUGCCUCAGCUUCCCAAAGUGCUGGAAUUACAGGAAAGACAGCAUUCAAGGAACCACCUUGUACGCAGACACUGAAACCUCGCGAGACAACAAAACUGCUGACACCUUGAUCUUGGACUUCCCAGCCUCCAGAACUAUGUGAGACAUAGAACUAUAAACCAGCAAAGAGUACAUAGAACAAACAUUUUUUUUAGAAGGAUUAAAUGGGACAAUUAAACAAUUUGAUCAGCAUAAUGUCCAGCUCAAGGAUCUUGGAGGUGGUGAGGCAGCCCAAGUGGAAAGGCAGCAGAAGGGGUAUCCUUGUUUUACCAAUUACUCAUAUGUAGGAGAUGGUGCAUUAAAUGAAAUAUUCUCUGCUCUCUCCUAACAUCUACCCCCUCACACCAAGAGGAAGGCAUGUCGCCUGAACCUUUGCAGUAUUCAAUUAAAGUUCUAUUCACACGGUAUUGCAGUUGUUUGCUUAUCUUUCUUUCUUAUUAGACUUAAAACUUCUGGAAACUAGAGGCUAUAUUACUUAUUUGCCUCAGAGUCCUGUUGGCCUAUCAAAUGGCACACCUUCAAUCCAAGAAUGAAUUAAUUAAAUAAAUGUGAAGAAAAAAAAAAUCCAAGUUGCUUAUUUUUGUUAAAUUUAUUUUUCCCCAAAAUAUUUACUGAGAAAAUGACUCUGGGAAGAUAGCAGAGUGGAAAGCCCCAGAAAUGUGUUUCCCCACCUAGACAACAACUGUACUGGCAGAAUCUGUUUGAUGUGACUAUUCUGAAGUUCUGAAUUGAAUAAAUAUGAAGAAAAUACAAA